GGCGCGAUAGCAAAGUGGUUAUGCACCGGAUUGCAAAUCCGUUCACAGCGGUUCGAUUCCGCUUCGCGCCU
rnacentral:tRNA from 1 species